GAUGGACGCCAGUCACUCUCCGGCGCCGACGAUAGUGAGGAGUGGAGGCGGUGGUUUCUGUAAUGUUCUGCGGAUCCGUGUAUAUAGAGGAUUACUUUGGAUUUGGUGGAGUACCAUGGCCGUCACGCCCCCUUCCAUAGACUUGCAUAGCGGGGGGGGGGAUGUCAAACGGAGGGCGGAGUCGUGACGUCACAGUACUCCGACCCCAUGGUCGGCACCCAGCAGUCUGUGAGCUGGCAGCACGGCAUGCAACUCAAAGAGGAUUACACGAGGCGCUGUCCUUCUGACAUCUUUCAAACAAAUUCAAGCAGAAACUGUCCAAAAACUCAAAAGUUCAAUGGAUGCAAGACUUGUGAAGCUGCUAUCAAGGGGUCCUAUGUUAAAAUGUAAGGUGACCUGUUAAAAUAUUUAAAAAGUUAAAAUGUUGUUAAAAGUUUGAUUGAAAUAGCUUUUGAUUUCAGCAAAUAUGCUGCAAACACAGACGACAAUUUUCAGUUCUUUACAACCUAUAAAGUGUUUUGAAACUUACUGGCCCUCAUUUACUAUUGCAAACCCGACAUGCUUUGCCAGGCUGUCUGCCAGAUUUUGGCGCAUUGCGCCAGAAUUUACAACAUAUUUUGCGCCAGAAUUGAGGAAAAACCCGAUAAAUUCUCCAUUUUACUGAGAGAACCUGAAAAAGGGGCGUGUCUGUCAGGAAAAAGGGGGUGUGGUGACAGAAAAAGUUCGUGUUCCCGACAUUUUCACAAAAAACUACAGAUUUACUAAGGUUUCUAUAGAAAAUUUAGGGGAUUUGAGCUGAGGAAAACCAGACAGAUCAGACAUGGGUAAAAAAAAAGAAAAAGUGCAAAAUGUAGGGAAACCUUAGUAAAUACUGUGGGAAAAAAAUUGUAGGGAAUUAAAACCCACAAAGAAAACUACACUCCACUCUUAGUAAAUCAGGGCCACUGUGGCCAGCCCUUUGUGUCAGCUAACAGAAGAAUAUGCAGGGUACAUCCCACUAUGUCGGAUUUUGCGCAGAGUAAAAUACGCUGCGUAUAAGUUGUGUGUGACCCUACCCCUAAGGUGUUAGUAUGGACUCCAGCAUUUUAUAGUGGAGCUCACCAAAAUUGUAUAAGAACUGCAAUUUUUAAUCAAUUUAAUUGCAAUGGAAGCCUACUCUGAAGUAAGUUCCUUUAUCCACUAACCCCAUCCUGACCC